AGAUUGAACGCUGGCGGAAUGCUUUACACAUGCAAGUCGAGCGGCAGCGCGGGGCAACCUGGCGGCGAGCGGCGAACGGGUGAGUAAUGCAUCGGAACAUGUCCAUGUCGUGGGGGAUAGCCCGGCGAAAGCCGGAUUAAUACCGCAUACGCCCGAGAGGGGAAAGUGGGGGACCGCAAGGCCUCACGCGAUUGGGUUGGCCGAUGUCCGAUUAGCUAGUUGGCGGGGUAAGAGCCCACCAAGGCGAUGAUCGGUAGCUGGUCUGAGAGGAUGAUCAGCCACACUGGGACUGAGACACGGCCCAGACUCCUACGGGAGGCAGCAGUGGGAAUUUGGACAAGUGGGGGCAACCUGAUCCAGCCAUUCCGCGUGACGUGAAGAAGGCCGUUGGUGUAAAGUCUCGUUUUGCCGGUAGCGAACGCGAGCGU
rnacentral:rRNA from 1 species